rnacentral:rRNA from 1 species
UAUGCUUAAGAGGAAAGCAGACCCAUGUCUUGUUUAGACUCGUGUAUAUUUGGCCACCUGAAAAUCAAACUCGUGUGUAUCAUUCAGCAGUUCUACCCUGCAUCGACUGUUCACUGCAAAAAGCCAAAAACAGCAGCAUUAAUAAUCUGCAUCCAUACAUCAUGUUAGUUCAUCAGUAACUGAUCUAAGCCAUCAUGUUAGUUCCUUCCCUCCUCUUUGCCAAAAACGCAAAUCUCCACUGCUACUGUUGCGUCACAAAAGCAGUGUGUUAGUUUCCGCCAAAGGAGCGUGACAAACUUGUGUAAAUUCUACCAUUAUGCUUCAGGAUGUAACUUGUGCAAUUCUUCAGGAUGUAACUUGUGCAAUUCUACUCUUCUUCUAAACAAAACAGAGCAGCUUUCUUGCAAUAAGGUGAUCUUAUACUCCGAAGAAACUGAACAUAGUUGACGCUUCUUGACAAUUUUUUAAAACUAAACAUAAACUGAUUACAGUUAAUGUAGAGCAAAAUAGUAGCACCGAUAAACAAAAGAAGAAGAAGAAAGAGUGCAAUGAAAAUUAACUACUUUCAAAACUCUCCAAUAUAUAUCUACUCAAGUAAGGGGCCAACUGACUAACUUUUUGAACUGAG